rnacentral:rRNA from 1 species
GAUCAUUAAAGAGAUUUUAUCUCUCACCAUAUGUGGAUUUUAACUUGUUGCUUUGGCCGAUCGAUCUUCGGAUCCUUUGGAUUAACCUCUAAAGAGUUGUCGGCCAAAGAUUUUUAAACUCUUUUUAAUUUAAAUCUGAGUCUUACAAAAUAAAAUUAAAACUUUCAACAACGGAUCUCUUGGUUCUGGCAUCGAUGAAGAACGCAGCGAAAUGCGAUAAGUAAUGUGAAUUGCAGAAUUCAGUGAAUCAUCGAAUCUUUGAACGCACAUUGCACCUUUUGGUAUUCCGAAAGGUAUGUCUGUUCGAGCGUCAUUUAAACUCUCAAGCUUUGCUUGGUAUUGAAGAUGGUUAAUCAACCACUUCAUAACUUAUUGGCAUGAUUUAAAUUAAUUCAAGCGUAGCAAUGUUAUCGUUUAGUUUUAUUUAAGUCGUCGUCAAAUAGACUCAAAACUUCAAGUUUGACCUCGGAUCAGAUAAGGAUACCCGCUGAACUUAAGCAUAUCAAUAAGCGGAGGAAAAGAAACCAACAGGGAUUGCCUCAGUAACGGCGAGUGAAGCGGCAACAGCUCAAAUUUGAAAUCUCCUUCGGGCGAAUUGUAAUUUGAAGAGGAUGUUUUGGUGCAGUCUUGACCUAAGUUCCUUGGAACAGGACGUCAAAGAGGGUGAGAAUCCCGUAUUUGAUCAAGAACUUAACCGUGUAAAACUCCUUCGACGAGUCGAGUUGUUUGGGAAUGCAGCUCUAAAUGGGAGGUAUAUUUCUUCUAAAGCUAAAUACCGGCCAGAGACCGAUAGCGCACAAGUAGAGUGAUCGAAAGAUGAAAAGCACUUUGGAAAGAGAGUUAAAAAGUACGUGAAAUUGUUGAAAGGGAAGCGUUUGCGGCCAGACUUGAUCUCAGUUGCUCAGCCGGUCUUUGCCCGGUGCACUCUUCUGAAUCAGGCCAGCAUCAGUUUGGGUGGUUGGAUAAAGUCGAUUGGAACGUGGCUCCUCGGAGUGUUAUAGCCUCUCGAACAAUACAGCCUACCCAGACUGAGGACCA